UACGGAGGGUGCAAGCGUUAUCCGGAUUCACUGGGUUUAAAGGGUGCGUAGGCGGAUUUGUAAGUCCGUGGUGAAAUCUCCGAGCUUAACUCGGAAACUGCCAUGGAUACUAUAAGUCUUGAAUGUUGUGGAGGUUUGCGGAAUAUGUCAUGUAGCGGUGAAAUGCUUAGAUAUGACAUAGAACACCGAUAGCGGAGGCAGCUUGCUACACAGUCAUUGACACUGAGGCACGAAAGCGUGGGGAUCAAACAGG
rnacentral:rRNA from 1 species